rnacentral:rRNA from 1 species
AAAGCGGAGGAAAAGAAACCAACAGGGAUUGCCUCAGUAACGGCGAGUGAAGCGGCAAAAGCUCAAAUUUGAAAUCCCCCGGGAAUUGUAAUUUGAAGAGAUUUGGGUCCGGCCGGCGGGGGUUAAGUCCACUGGAAAGUGGCGCCACAGAGGGUGACAGCCCCGUGAACCCCUUUAACGCCCUCAUCCCAGAUCUCCAAGAGUCGAGUUGUUUGGGAAUGCAGCUCUAAGUGGGUGGUAAAUUCCAUCUAAAGCUAAAUACCGGCGAGAGACCGAUAGCGAACAAGUACAGUGAUGGAAAGAUGAAAAGCACUUUGAAAAGAGAGUGAAAAAGUACGUGAAAUUGUUGAAAGGGAAGGGCUUGCAAGCAGACACUUAACUGGGCCAGCAUCGGGGCGGCGGGAAGACAAAACCACCGGGGAAUGUACCUUUCGAGGGAUUAUAACCCCGGCUCCUCUA